UUUGCUACCCACUAUCCAACCUCCCUAUUCCUCCUCCACUUACCCUUCCCAGCCUCUGGCAACUGACAUUCCACCUUCUACAUGAGAUCAUCUUGUCUUAGUCUCUUUAUCUCUAAUGUGGUCAUAAUAAGCCAAGGAUGGUGGCAUAUGCCUGUAACCCCAGCACUCUGGAAGGCUGAAGUGGGAGAAUCACAAGUUGGAGACCAGCCUGGGCAUUUUAGUGAACCCCUAUCUCAAAGUUAAAAAGGGCUGGGAAUGUAGCUCAGUGAGAGUCCCUGGGUUCAAUCUCCAGUACUGCAAAAAAUUAAAAUUAAAAUUAAAUGGGCAUACUAAAGAGUGCAUGUGUGAAGCAGGGGGAAAGCAAGAACCAUUUGCUCCUUCUCCAGGACAGGCUGAGCGCUGGGAACGCUAUGGAUGCACCUGUGGAUGCACCGCAUCAGCACCCAUGGGAUCUGUUCUUCUCCAGGAAGCUGGCAGCAGUCUCCCCAAAGUCAGGGGCUACGCCCAGCUCCACAUCACGUGAGGGAGAGACCUCGCCUCCUCCUCUGCACCUGAAGGAAGCCUGCCGUCCACGAGGUGACGUCGGAGACAGUAUCUUAUGGCCCUUCUGCCUGAGGGGGCCAAGGAGCGGGGUGAGACACUCUGCCAGGGCCUUCAGCAGCAGCCUCACCAGGAUGACCCGUGGAAAAUGAAAACUGCAGUGGGUGUGUUUGUUACCAACUUCUGCACUACUCUCCUUCGUUUUUUAAAAAUGCUAAAUUAAACUCUGAACUAUAAAGCAUGCCCAAAUGAGCGGGAACAUUUAUUCAACUGUGAGGGGACAGAGGGCACGGAUUCCGAGCUGACUACCUUUCCAGCGCACCGCUGUUCUGCUCCGGAACCAGGACAGGCGACCGUCCGUCCCUCGGGUGGCCCAGCUCGGGAGAAGCCCCGGCAGAGGGAAGGCACGAGCCGACUUUGGAGGUCAACCGGCGCCACAGGGCAGGCAUGGGAUGAGGUAGGCUGGCGAGGGCAGGAGGGUCUGGCACUGCCGUAGGCUGGCAUCGCUCGGGGUCCAGAGAGGGUCCCAGGGGAGCGGGGCCUUGGCCGGAUCUCGGGAGUCGUCAAGGGGAUUCCGGUCGGCUCCCCUUUCCGCUGAGAGGACGGACACGGUUCUAGAAGGCCACAGCGCCAGGCAGGAGUGUGC
rnacentral:lncRNA from 1 species